AUUGAACGCUGGCGGCAUGCUUAGCACAUGCAAGUCGAACGGCAGCAUAGUCUAGUUUACUAGAUGGGUGGCGAGUGGCGAACGGGUGAGUAACGCGUAGGAAUAUACCUUAAAGAGUGGGACAACUUGGGGAAACUCAAGCUAAUACCGCAUACUGUCUGAGGACAAAAGCUGGGGACCUUCGGGCCUGGCGCUUUAAGAAUAGCCUGCGUCCGAUUAGCUAGUUGGUGGGGUAAGGGCCUACCAAGGCGACGAUCGGUAGCUGGUCUGAGAGGAUGGCCAGCCACACUGGAACUGAGACACGGUCCAGACUCCUACGGGAGGCAGCAGUGGGGAAUAUUGGACAAUGGGGGGAACCCUGAUCCAGCAAUGCCGCGUGUGUGAAGAAGGCCUGAGGGUUGUAAAGCACUUUCAGUGGGGAGGAGGGUUUAUUGGUUAAGAGCUGAUGAAUUGGACGUUACCCACAGAAGAAGCACCGGCUAACUCCGUGCCAGCCGCCGCGGUAA
rnacentral:rRNA from 1 species